rnacentral:rRNA from 1 species
UGGGGAAUUUUGGGCAAUGGGGGAAACCCUGAUCCAGCCAUCCCGCGUGUGCGAUGAAGGCCUUCGGGUUGUAAAGCACUCUUGGCAGGAAAGAAACGUCAUGGGUUAAUACCCCGUGAAACUGACGGUACCUGCAGAAUAAGCACCGGCUAACUACGUGCCAGCAGCCGCGGUAAUACGUAGGGUGCAAGCGUUAAUCGGAAUUACUGGGCGUAAAGCGUGCGCAGGCGGUUCGGAAAGAAAGAUGUGAAAUCCCAGAGCUCAACUUUGGAACUGCAUUUUUAACUACCGGGCUAGAGUGUGUCAGAGGGAGGUGGAAUUCCGCGUGUAGCAGUGAAAUGCGUAGAUAUGCGGAGGAACACCGAUGGCGAAGGCAGCCUCCUGGGAUAACACUGACGCUCAUGCACGAAAGCGUGGGGAGCAAACAGG